CAGAUAAUGAACACGUUGGCUUAGACCGAACAAAUAAUAAUAAUAAUUUAAAUGAAACACGCAACAAUGGGCUGAUACGAGAUGCAAGGAAUUCAUACUUUGGAGACAUCCACUACGACACUCGACGCACAGAACCAACCAAUUUAGUUGCCAGCAAAGAUAUUUAUCUUUGCAAUGAAGUUUUCAACUUGCACUUCUACAAUCAACCUGUUGAGUCUGAGGUACACAGUACAAAGUAUGUGCCUGACCCAGUUUUAAAAAGACCAUAUCCGGACCACACAAAUCAAUUGUCGGCUACAAUGACAAAUCUAUUGUAGCCGACAAACCGCGAAUAUUGAAUUUUGUAUAAAAAACGAAAUUGAAGUGAGCGGAUGCAUUCCAAAUGUUGACUGUGGUAUACGGAGAAGCUGCUUUGGACAAAAUCAACAUUUAUCGGUGAAACAAAACGUUUUCAGGAGGCCGACAAGAUGUGACCGAUGAAGAGCGCCGGACGCCUGAGCGCUUCAACCACAGACGCAAACAUUUAUGAAAUGAAGAAAAUAGUACUGGCCAAUUAAUUAUCGAAUAACCGAGAAAUUGCCUAGGACCUAGGCAUAUCGAUUGGCUCGAGCCAUUCGAUUUAAUCGAUAAUUUGUAGGCGGGUCGGCCGUCCGUCUCCGCUCACCAUCGCGUGAUACACGAAUUGUAUCUCUCAUAACUGUGUUCUAAUGUACCUAUUUACUAUGUUAGUGUAACAUUCUGAUUUCUGAUAUAUGUAUGAAUAGACAUUUAUAGUUAAA